rnacentral:rRNA from 1 species
GUGGGGAAUUUUGCGCAAUGGGGGAAACCCUGACGCAGCAACGCCGCGUGAGUGAUGAAGGCCUUCGGGUCGUAAAGCUCUGUCAGAGGGGAAGAAGUGUGAGGUGGCUAAUAUCCAUUUCACUUGACGGUACCUUCAAAGGAAGCACCGGCUAACUCCGUGCCAGCAGCCGCGGUAAUACGGAGGGUGCGAGCGUUGUUCGGAAUUAUUGGGCGUAACGCGCGUGUAGGCGGUUUUUUAAGUCUGAUGGGAAAGCCCUGGGCUCAACCCGGGAAGUGCAUUGGAAACUGGGAGACUUGAAUACGGGAGAGGGCAGUGGAAUUCCUGGUGUAGGAGUGAAAUCCGUAGAGAUCAGGAGGAACACCGGUGGCGAAGGCGGCUGCCUGGACCGAUAUUGACGCUGAGACGCGAAAGCGUGGGGAGCAAACAGGAUUAGAAACCCUUGUAGUCC